rnacentral:rRNA from 1 species
UAAACGAUGUCUACUAGUUGUCGGAGGGUAACUCCUUCGGUAACGCAGCUAACGCGUGAAGUAGACCGCCUGGGGAGUACGGUCGCAAGAUUAAAACUCAAAGGAAUUGACGGGGACCCGCACAAGCGGUGGAUGAUGUGGAUUAAUUCGAUGCAACGCGAAAAACCUUACCUACCCUUGACAUGCCACUAACGAAGCAGAGAUGCAUUAGGUGCCCGAAAGGGAAAGUGGACACAGGUGCUGCAUGGCUGUCGUCAGCUCGUGUCGUGAGAUGUUGGGUUAAGUCCCGCAACGAGCGCAACCCUUGCCAAUAGUUGCUACGAAAGAGCACUCUAUUGGGACUGCCGGUGACAAACCGGAGGAAGGUGGGGAUGACGUCAAGUCCUCAUGGCCCUUAUGGGUAGGGCUUCACACGUCAUACAAUGGCCGGUACAGAGGGUUGCCAACCCGCGAGGGGGAGCCAAUCCCAGAAAACCGGUCGUAGUCCGGAUUGCAGUCUGCAACUCGACUGCAUGAAGUCGGAAUCGCUAGUAAUCGCGGAUCAGCAUGUCGCGGUGAAUACGUUCCCGGGUCUUGUACACACCGCCCGUCACACCAUGGGAGUGGGUUUCACCAGAAGCCGUUUGCCUAACCGCAAGGAGGGCGGCGACCACGGUGAGAUUCAUGACUGGGGUG